GACGAACGCUGGCGGCGUGCUUAACACAUGCAAGUCGAACGGAAAGGCCCCUUUGGGGGUCCUCGAGUGGCGAACGGGUGAGUAACACGUGAGUAACCUGCCCUUGACUUCGGGAUAACUUCAGGAAACUGGGGCUAAUACCGGAUAGGAAUCCUUGCUGCAUGGUGGGGGUUGGAAAGCUUCGGCGGUUUUGGAUGGACUCGCGGCUUAUCAGCUUGUUGGUGGGGUAGUGGCUUACCAAGGCUUUGACGGGUAGCCGGCCUGAGAGGGCGACCGGCCACAUUGGGACUGAGAUACGGCCCAGACUCCUACGGGAGGCAGCAGUGGGGAAUAUUGCACAAUGGGCGGAAGUCUGAUGCAGCAACGCCGCGUGCGGGAUGACGGCCUUCGGGUUGUAAACCGCUUUCAGCAGGGGCGAAGCUUGUGGUGACGGUACCUGCAGAAGAAGCACCGGCUAACUACGUG
rnacentral:rRNA from 1 species